CUCUCUCUCUCUCUCUCUUCUCAUAAUCUUAUCCGCUUUCACUUUUUUGACAUUAUAGAUUAGACCAGCUUUUUCAUUUUGAAAGUGAAAACUACCCAUUUGGUUUUUUUCCCCAUCUGUUAAUUAUGGCUUUCUUGGGUGUAUUACGAGUGUAAUCCGAGUUUUUUUUUUUUGGCUUAAAUGAGUUACCAAGUUUGGGUUGUUCCUGGUGAUGUGGAUUUGUAUGGGUGAUAGAUUUGUCAAGAUUGAUGGACACAAACACUGGUGUUUGGGUUCUGGUGUGGAUGAUCCUGGUGGUGCCUCCUUUUUCAAGGAUCUCUGCAAAUAUGGAAGGUGAUGCUUUGCAUAACCUCCGGACAAAUUUACAAGAUCCUAACAAUGUCCUGCAGAGCUGGGAUCCUACCCUUGUUAAUCCCUGUACAUGGUUUCAUGUUACAUGUAACUAUGAAAAUAGUGUUAUUAGAGUUGACCUUGGAAAUGCAGCACUAUCUGGCCAAUUGGUCCCACAGCUUGGCCAGCUUAAGAAUUUACAGUACUUGGAACUCUAUGGCAACAAUAUAAGUGGACCAAUUCCUAGUGAUCUUGGGAAUCUAACAAACUUGGUGAGCUUGGAUCUUUACAUGAAUGGUUUCACUGGUCCUAUUCCGGACACAUUGGGCAAACUGACGAAACUGCGUUUCCUGUAUGAAUAUACAUCCUCUAUCUUAUGCUACGCAAUUGUUUUUCUUUUGGAAUUUGUUUUAUAUUUAUUUAUUCAUAUUCAAAACACUUCAUUUAUCAAUAGAUGCAACUUACCACAAAGUUUAAUUUUGUUUAUGAAUGCGUAGCAGUAGCACCAUAAUUAUGUGGAACUUCACCCAUGAGCAACAUUAUAAAGCAAACCCCAAACUUGUUAUAUAUUGAAGGCAGGGGUGGGGUACUGGGGUUGCGGAUGGUGUUAAAGUCUGAGUCCUAUCCUUCCUCUGCAUUGAAGUUGAUAUUCUUUGCAUAUGAUGCCAUGACUAAUGAAUGAUAGAAUAUCAAGCAGCUACUGGAUUUCACUAGUUGCAGGUUUAAAUAUCUAUGAGGAUGGUAAAAAUGAAUAAUUUCUUGUUCCAGGAAGACUGUUUGAGAGUUGAUUUGGAAUAUCCACAUGGUAGGCUAGUUCCAGGCUUCCAGUAAGAAAGUUUGCUAUUCGCGUGCUGCAUCUUUAUUAGAUAUCUUUUGUAUCCUCUAGCAUCAUGAAAAAUAAAACAGUCAGUUUGAGCUUGAUAAUUUUUAAGGUGGUAAAAAAUUCCAUUUAUUAAAAUUUGAUGGGGAAUUUAUUGCAGACUUCAUUUGCUUGCAAGUAGUGGGCAAAAUAGCACAUAAAUAGUUGCAUAAGGUCUUUGAGCUGGACUGAUAUACUUUCCGAAUUGUCAUCCAAAUGAUUUUAUGAAUUGUGUUAUUAUCUGUGACAAUGGAGAUUCUUUUAGUGGUUGUUAGUCCCCCAAGGUCACAUUCAGCCAUCUGCUUUCUUAAAAUUCAAUGCACUUUUGUCUUCUCUUAUUAUCUGAAUGUGCAUGUCUGUAUUAUGUCUUCUAAUUCCAGCAGGGUUCUACAAUUAUAUUUAUAUGUGAAAAUGAUGAAUGGAACUCAACAUUGUUUUCUUGGUAUGUAUAUGUAAGGAUAGUCGACUCAACAACAAUAGCCUGUCAGGUUCAAUACCUUUGUCCUUGAUUAAUAUCACUACACUGCAAGUCUUGUAAGUGCCUAGAUAAAUUCAAAUUUCUUCUUCAUUUUCUUGAGCCAUCAGUUUUAUCUUGGCAAUAAUGAUGUGAUAUUGACCUUUUAUAAUUUUGUUGGCAGGGACUUGUCAAACAAUCGUCUAUCAGGACCUGUACCAGAUAACGGAUCUUUUUCACUAUUUACACCCAUCAGCUUUGCAAAUAACUUGGAUCUAUGUGGGCCGGUUACUGGAAAGCCUUGCCCUGGAUCUCCACCAUUUUCUCCGCCACCUCCAUUUGUUCCAACAUAUACAGCUCCUUAUCCUGGAGAAAGUAGCCCCACUGGAGCGAUUGCUGGGGGAGUGGCUGUUGGUGCUGCUUUAUUGUUUGCUGCUCCUGCUAUUUGGUUUGCGUACUGGAAGCGAAGGAAGCUACCAGAGCUUUUCUUUGAUGUACCUGGUGAGGAGGACCCUGACGUUCACUUGGGACAGCUUAAAAGGUUUUCUUUGCGAGAACUGCAGGUGGCAACUGAUAGUUUUAGCAACAAGAACAUUCUGGGCAGGGGUGGAUUUGGUAAGGUGUAUAAGGGGCGCUUGGCUGAUGGCACUUUGGUGGCUGUAAAAAGACUUAAAGAGGAGCGGACUCCAGGUGGGGAAUUGCAGUUUCAAACAGAAGUGGAAAUGAUCAGCAUGGCUGUGCAUCGAAAUCUCCUCCGACUGCGUGGUUUUUGCAUGACGCCUACUGAACGGCUGCUUGUUUAUCCAUACAUGGCUAAUGGCAGUGUCGCAUCAUGUCUCAGAGGUACUGCUUGAUUGGCUUUCGCUUGAUUUUAGUACCAUGAACUGAUUUUUUUUUUUUAAUAAAUCAAACUAAGAAAUCCAAUCAUUUUAAAAAGAACAUGGUUUGGGGGUAUACUGCUCGUCUUUGGUCAAAACAAAUACUCUAUGAGAAUUUGGCCGAAAAGAAUACCUAUUUUCAAAAUUGAUGCUUUGUGCUGUGGUUUAACAAAGGUUUUAAAUCACAGUUGUGGUACAGAGGUGUUGCAUUUAAAGUUUAGCAAUCGUGGUUAUUACUAUUAUAUGAUCCUUUUUAAACACUAGCUUGCAAGAAGAGGAGGAGGAGGAG
rnacentral:misc_RNA from 1 species